AGCAUAUUCAAACUAUCACACUCCAUUUUUAACUGAGUCCUAUAUGGGCUGCCUUUGUGUUCAGGAGUGCAGGGCUAUCUACUACAGGUCAAGCAAUCACGGAGAAUAUGGACAUUUCUGAAGAAGACUGACUCUCCCUCCCCCAGCAGCCACCAACUGCCAAUAGCUCUUCAGUACGAAGAAUAUAUUUUACUUCGAGAAGAGUGAAAGGAACAAAUGCAAUUUAUGUAGCUCAUUAAAAGUUGAUUCUUCAAUUUGAUGGAUAAAGACAACUCUGUUCAAGAAAAAAGUCCUGGUACUGAAAUUCAGGUGGACAGACUUGGUGG
rnacentral:sRNA from 1 species